GCCGGCGUGACGGGAACUGGCAUACCUGGCUGCCUCAGAUGCAGUCGUUUGGGAGUUCGACUCUCCCCGCCGGCA
rnacentral:tRNA from 1 species